GACGAACGCUGGCGGCGUGCUUAACACAUGCAAGUCGAACGGAAAGGCCCUGCUUUUGUUGGGUUCUCGAGUGGCGAACGGGUGAGUAACACGUGAGUAACCUGCCCUUGACUUUGGGAUAACUUCAGGAAACUGGGGCUAAUACCGGAUAGGAGCUCCUGCUGCAUGGUGUGGGUUGGAAAGUUUCGGCGGUUGGGGCUGGACUCGCGGCUUAUCAGCUUGUUGGUGAGGUAGUGGCUUACCAAGCCUUUGACGGGUAGCCGGCCUGAGAGGGUGACCGGGCACAUGGGGACUGAGAUACGGCGCAGACUCCAACGGGAGGCAGCAGUGGGGAAUAUUGCACAAUGGGCGGAAGCCUGAUGCAGAAACGCCGCGUGCGGGAUGACGGCCUUCGGGUUGUAAACAGCUUUCGCAUGUGACGAAGCGGGAGUGACGGUAAUGGGUAAAGAAGCACCGGCUAACUACGUG
rnacentral:rRNA from 1 species